rnacentral:rRNA from 1 species
GAUUACGGCCACACCUCCCUGGUCACGCCCGAUCUCGUCUGAUCUCGGAAGCUAUGCAGGGUCGGGCCGAUUAGUACUUGGAUGACUGAGACCGCCUGGGAAUACCAGGUGCUGUAAGCC